CUGAUGCUCGUCUGCACUGCACAGAGGAAAUCAACUGACCGAGGAGUGUUUCUGAGUGAGGGAGAGAGGAGUCAUCAUCCAGGUAAAGUGACGUGGAUCAGUGGAUACACUUGUCUCCCCUUUAAAGGAGAUACUCUUAGAGAGAGACAAUCCGAGUCAUCCUUAAAUAUGGGCAGGAUAUCAGUCUUGGACUGUCUAACCUCCCGGAGCAGCACUGAAUGAUCACCACACAUGAGCAUGUUCCUGCAACAUUCAGCAUCUGAUCCUUGUUCAUCUGUGUGCUUCUGCUUUUGUGUCAAAUGUCCAACAGCUGGAGAGGAAACUAAACCAGUGUACUGGGAUGUUUCAUCAACAUGUGCCAGACGCUGUUCCUUCAUGGGGACAUCACCAGAGACAGCCCCGCCCACCUCAGGACCUCGCCAUUGAUCAUGAUGAUUAUAAUGAUGACAGCGAGCGGAACUAAGACUGUAAAAAUC